GUGCUUGGCUUAUAAUAAAGGUUCUUCUCUGUCAAUUCACGAAUUAAGGGAUGACGUCGAGGAUUUGUGGACUGUUUUUUUAAGACAUAAAAUUAUGAGGUUAAUAUGAAAGCUUCAUUAAGUAUAAGGGUGUAAUUGAAAUUUUGAUAUCUUUAAUCCGCUCCGACGAGAAACGGGACUGUAGAGCAGAUUCCUGGGAAUAUCAAAACGAGCGGAGAAAAUAAUCUUCCUGUUCGCGGAGAUGGCUCCGGUUGGUCCUCGAUCUGGAGAUGCGAUCUUCUCCAGCAUCGAACGCAUUAAUGCGGAGUUAUUCACCCUGACUUAUGGGGCAAUUGUGCGUCAAUUGCUUACGGACCUGGAGGAGGUCGAAGAAGUGAACAAACAGCUUGAUCAAAUGUAUAGUUCUUUCUGCAGGGGAUACAAUGUUGGAAUCAGACUGAUCGACGAGUUUCUUGCCAAAUCGGGUGUAUCCAGAUGUGUUGACUUCAAGGAGACCGCAGAAGCUGUCGCAAAGGUGGGUUUCAAAAUGUUCUUGGGGGUCACUGCUUCAGUGACUAACUGGGACGCAGAUGGAGCUUGCUGCAGUAUAAUCCUUGAGGACAAUCCACUCGUAGACUUUGUGGAACUCUCUGAUACAUGCCAAGGCCUUUACUACUGCAACAUCUUAAGCGGUGUCAUUAGAGGAGCGCUCGAGAUGGUCUCGAUGAAGACAGAAGUAACAUGGAUCCGUGAUACGCUACGAGGGGAUGACGCUUACGAGUUGCAAGUGAAGCUUCUGAAGCAAAUAGCCGAGGAGUAUCCCUACAAGGACGAUGAGUAAAGUCUUGUCUUUAUCUCUUCUGUCGACUUCCACAAUGCAACUUGUUUCUACUUGUAAUUUUUAUUCCCCCUUAAGAACUCCCGAGGUUUUGUCCAAAGUGACAAGUCAUGGGAUGUCGGUUCAUGAACUUUGUGCAUGAAGACAUUUGGUUGGAUUGUAUAUCUGGUUGAAUUAACGUUUAAUGGUUCAAGUAACAGUGUACCACCUUCGGUAUGCAUGUACUUGAAUCAUAUACGUAAUAAUACAUCGCAUUAGCCA